GAUCGCUCUGGUGACCUAGUGGUUAGAGCUUCCGCCACGGAUGCGGGAGGUCGUGGGUUCGAUCCCGAUCCCCGGUCA